rnacentral:rRNA from 1 species
UACAGAGGGUGCAAACGUUGUUCGGAAUUACUGGGCGUAAAGCGCGUGUAGGCGGCUUUGCAAGUCUGGCGUGAAAUCCCACGGCUCAACCGUGGAAGUGCACUCGAAACUGCAGAGCUAGAGUCCUGGAGAGGAAGGUGGAAUGCUUGGUGUAGAGGUGAAAUUCGUAGAUAUCAAGCGGAACACCGGUGGCGAAGGCGGCCUUCUGGACAGUGACUGACGCUGAGACGCGAAAGCGUGGGGAGCAAACAGG